rnacentral:rRNA from 1 species
GACGUAGGGUCCAAGCGUUGUUCGGAUUUACUGGGCGUAAAGAGCGCGUAGGCGGUCUGUUAAGUGUAGAGUGAAAUCUCCAGGGCUCAACCCGGAAACUGCUCUGCAUACUGGCAGACUGGAGUGAUGCAGAGGUUUGUGGAAUUCCUGGUGUAACGGUGAAAUGUGUUGAUAUCAGGAGGAACACCCAUGGCGAAGGCAGCAAACUGGGCAUUAACUGACGCUGAGGCGCGAAAGCGUGGGUAGCAAACAGG